rnacentral:rRNA from 1 species
UCCACGCCGUAAACGAUGGAUACUAGGUGUUGGAGGGUUUCGACCCCUUCAGUGCCGUCGCUAACGCAUUAAGUAUCCCGCCUGGGGAGUACGGUCGCAAGAUUAAAACUCAAAGGAAUAGACGGGGACCCACACAAGCGGUGGAGCACCUGGCUUAAUUCGAUAAUGAGCGAGGAACCUUACCUGGACUUGACAUCCUGAGAAUUUUCUAGAAAUAGAAAAGUGCCUUAUGGAACUCAGUGACAGGUGCUGCAUGGUUGUCGUCAGCUCGUGCCUUGAGGUGUUCGGUUAAGUCCGUAAACGAGCGCAACCCAUGUCCUGUGUUGUAUUUUUCACAGGAGACUGCCGAUUCAAAGUCGGAGGAGGUAUGG